GCUUACGAUCAUACCACGCUGAACAUACGCGAACUCGUCAGAUCUCGCAAGUCAAGCAGCGUCGGGCCUGGUCAGUACUUGGAUCGGAGACGGCUUGGGAAUCCCAGGUGUCGAAAGCU
rnacentral:rRNA from 1 species